AGGUGACCCUGAAGUAGUCUAAAGCUCAUGGAACCAGAUGGUAGUGGCUAAGCCAUUCCUGUUGUGCCUUGGAGCUAGGAUCUGGAGUUUCUGGCUUGGUGAUCAGCAGGGAAGAGUCCUUCCUGCGCAAAGAUUGGGUGGAUACCCUGUUUCCCUCUGCUGACCAGUCCAUCCUGGGAUCCUGUGGUGAUCUUCAAGAAGUCCAGGCAGAUGAAUGACCUUUGCUGAACAUCAGGAAGUGAAGGUGCAGCGGCCAGCGAGGCAGAGGACCUGCCCCCAGUGCCCGGCAUGCAUUCUGCUGUCAGCAUCCGGAGAGCUUCU